GUAAAGCGAGCGCAGGCGGUUAGAUAAGUCUGAAGUUAAAGGCUGUGGCUUAACCAUAGUACGCUUUGGAAACUGUUUAACUUGAGUGCAAGAGGGGAGAGUGGAAUUCCAUGUGUAGCGGUGAAAUGCGUAGAUAUAUGGAGGAACACCGGUGGCGAAAGCGGCUCUCUGGCUUGUAACUGACGCUGAGGCUCGAAAGCGUGGGGAGCAAACAGGAUUAGAUACCCUGGUAGUCCACGCCGUAAACGAUGAGUGCUAGGUGUUAGACCCUUUCCGGGGUUUAGUGCCGUAGCUAACGCAUUAAGCACUCCGCCUGGGGAGUACGACCGCAAGGUUGAAACUCAAAGGAAUUGACGGGGGCCCGCACAAGCGGUGGAGUAUGUGGUUUAAUUCGACGCAACGCGAAGAACCUUACCAGGUCUUGACAU
rnacentral:rRNA from 1 species